rnacentral:sRNA from 1 species
ACAUGAAUACAAUUCUAGCGCCGGCAGUAAAUGGGAUUUUGGAUUUUAUCUCCUCCAAUUCACUUUGAAAUCUUGGAUCUAAAAAUGAACAAAGGGAUCUAGAAACAACAAUAAGAGCCAAAGAAUCUCUGAAUACCAAUAGAAAUUCAGCCUCACAAGGAAACAGUUGGGCCCGAAUUCAAGGCAACAAUUGAAGCAAGAUACUUUCAAACAUAGCCAACAGACCACCUUUCUUUGAGGGUCUGUUGCAACAAGUUUGAAAGUAAGAGGGGUAUUAUCUGCUUGUGAGCAACCUUAGAAUAACAAUUGAGACAUCAGAGCCUCUGAAUAUCAAUCAUACAGAAAUCAAGAA